rnacentral:rRNA from 1 species
AGCUCCAAUAGCGUAUAUUAAAGUUGUUGCAGUUAAAAAGCUCGUAGUUGGAUUUCUGGGUCAAGCUCCUGGUCCGCCGCAACGCGGUGCCGACUGUGUGUAGCGUUGGCUCAUCCUUGUGGGAAAGUCAGUCAGGCGUUCAAUCGUCAGCUGUUGGAACCGCAUCUUUUACUGUGAAAAAAUUAGAGUGUUCAAAGCAGGCUUACGCUGUGAAUACAUUAGCAUGGAAUAAUAAGAUAGGACUUUGGUUCUAUUUUGUUGGUUGGAGGCCAAGGUAAUGAUUAAUAGGGAUAGUUGGGGGUAUUCAUAUUUAAUUGUCAGAGGUGAAAUUCUUGGAUUUAUGAAAGAUGAACUUAUGCGAAAGCAUUUACCAAGGAUGUUU